UAGAACGCAGGCCCAGGUUCUGGCUACCCCACCGUUUGUGAUGUGUCAACAGCUUUGUUGUCAAUCACGUCGCGUCUGUGAGUUUCAUGCGUCCCAAGCCUCUUCCAGCUUCACUCUGAGUUGCUCUCUUCACUGACCCUUUUGAUGAUGCUUCCCGCCCUUGAGAUCCUACAGUCCACACACGCUGGAACUGCUGAGAUGGAUCGUGUGGUCAGAAGUUUCGAGGAUGGCUGUAGGAGUUAGAUCCACGUGCCCCUUCUGCCUUUGUGCCUGCUUCAGACAGUGAGUGGACUUCAGUCAUUAGUCUUCAGGUCUCUCCAUUUCACCAGCGCCGAGCACGGAAAUCAAUAGCAGAUCAUUUAAUAAUGCUCCAAAGACUCGAAAAGAGCCUGUUAAGGGAGGUUUAAACCAAAAUAAAGGAA